rnacentral:rRNA from 1 species
GGUUAAGCGACUAAGCGUACACGGUGGAUGCCCUGGCAGUCAGAGGCGAUGAAGGACGUGCUAAUCUGCGAUAAGCGUCGGUAAGGUGAUAUGAACCGUUAUAACCGGCGAUUUCCGAAUGGGGAAACCCAGUGUGUUUCGACACACUAUCAUUAACUGAAUCCAUAGGUUAAUGAGGCGAACCGGGGGAACUGAAACAUCUAAGUACCCCGAGGAAAAGAAAUCAACCGAGAUUCCCCCAGUAGCGGCGAGCGAACGGGGAGCAGCCCAGAGCCUGAAUCAGUGUGUGUGUUAGUGGAAGCGUCUGGAAAGGCGCGCGAUACAGGGUGACAGCCCCGUACACAAAAAUGCACAUGCUGUGAGCUCGAUGAGUAGGGCGGGACACGUGGUAUCCUGUCUGAAUAUGGGGGGACCAUCCUCCAAGGCUAAAUACUCCUGACUGACCGAUAGUGAACCAGUACCGUGAGGGAAAGGCGAAAAGAACCCCGGCGAGGGGAGUGAAAAAGAACCUGAAACCGUGUACGUACAAGCAGUGGGAGCCUCUUUAUGGGGUGACUGCGUACCUUUUGUAUAAUGGGUCAGCGACUUAUAUUCUGUAGCAAGGUUAACCGAAUAGGGGAGCCGAAGGGAAACCGAGUCUUAACUGGGCGUUAAGUUGCAGGGUAUAGACCCGAAACCCGGUGAUCUAGCCAUGGGCAGGUUGAAGGUUGGGUAACACUAACUGGAGGACCGAACCGACUAAUGUUGAAAAAUUAGCGGAUGACUUGUGGCUGGGGGUGAAAGGCCAAUCAAACCGGGAGAUAGCUGGUUCUCCCCGAAAGCUAUUUAGGUAGCGCCUCGUGAAUUCAUCUCCGGGGGUAGAGCACUGUUUCGGCAAGGGGGUCAUCCCGACUUACCAACCCGAUGCAAACUGCGAAUACCGGAGAAUGUUAUCACGGGAGACACACGGCGGGUGCUAACGUCCGUCGUGAAGAGGGAAACAACCCAGACCGCCAGCUAAGGUCCCAAAGUCAUGGUUAAGUGGGAAACGAUGUGGGAAGGCCCAGACAGCCAGGAUGUUGGCUUAGAAGCAGCCAUCAUUUAAAGAAAGCGUAAUAGCUCACUGGUCGAGUCGGCCUGCGCGGAAGAUGUAACGGGGCUAAACCAUGCACCGAAGCUGCGGCAGCGACGCUUAUGCGUUGUUGGGUAGGGGAGCGUUCUGUAAGCCUGUGAAGGUGUGCUGUGAGGCAUGCUGGAGGUAUCAGAAGUGCGAAUGCUGACAUAAGUAACGAUAAAGCGGGUGAAAAGCCCGCUCGCCGGAAGACCAAGGGUUCCUGUCCAACGUUAAUCGGGGCAGGGUGAGUCGACCCCUAAGGCGAGGCCGAAAGGCGUAGUCGAUGGGAAACAGGUUAAUAUUCCUGUACUUGGUGUUACUGCGAAGGGGGGACGGAGAAGGCUAUGUUGGCCGGGCGACGGUUGUCCCGGUUUAAGCGUGUAGGCUGGUUUUCCAGGCAAAUCCGGAAAAUCAAGGCUGAGGCGUGAUGACGAGGCACUACGGUGCUGAAGCAACAAAUGCCCUGCUUCCAGGAAAAGCCUCUAAGCAUCAGGUAACAUCAAAUCGUACCCCAAACCGACACAGGUGGUCAGGUAGAGAAUACCAAGGCGCUUGAGAGAACUCGGGUGAAGGAACUAGGCAAAAUGGUGCCGUAACUUCGGGAGAAGGCACGCUGAUAUGUAGGUGAAGUCCCUUGCGGAUGGAGCUGAAAUCAGUCGAAGAUACCAGCUGGCUGCAACUGUUUAUUAAAAACACAGCACUGUGCAAACACGAAAGUGGACGUAUACGGUGUGACGCCUGCCCGGUGCCGGAAGGUUAAUUGAUGGGGUCAGCGCAAGCGAAGCUCUUGAUCGAAGCCCCGGUAAACGGCGGCCGUAACUAUAACGGUCCUAAGGUAGCGAAAUUCCUUGUCGGGUAAGUUCCGACCUGCACGAAUGGCGUAAUGAUGGCCAGGCUGUCUCCACCCGAGACUCAGUGAAAUUGAACUCGCUGUGAAGAUGCAGUGUACCCGCGGCAAGACGGAAAGACCCCGUGAACCUUUACUAUAGCUUGACACUGAACAUUGAGCCUUGAUGUGUAGGAUAGGUGGGAGGCUUAGAAGUGUGGACGCCAGUCUGCAUGGAGCCGACCUUGAAAUACCACCCUUUAAUGUUUGAUGUUCUAACGUUGACCCGUAAUCCGGGUUGCGGACAGUGUCUGGUGGGUAGUUUGACUGGGGCGGUCUCCUCCUAAAGAGUAACGGAGGAGCACGAAGGUUGGCUAAUCCUGGUCGGACAUCAGGAGGUUAGUGCAAUGGCAUAAGCCAGCUUGACUGCGAGCGUGACGGCGCGAGCAGGUGCGAAAGCAGGUCAUAGUGAUCCGGUGGUUCUGAAUGGAAGGGCCAUCGCUCAACGGAUAAAAGGUACUCCGGGGAUAACAGGCUGAUACCGCCCAAGAGUUCAUAUCGACGGCGGUGUUUGGCACCUCGAUGUCGGCUCAUCACAUCCUGGGGCUGAAGUAGGUCCCAAGGGUAUGGCUGUUCGCCAUUUAAAGUGGUACGCGAGCUGGGUUUAGAACGUCGUGAGACAGUUCGGUCCCUAUCUGCCGUGGGCGCUGGAGAACUGAGGGGGGCUGCUCCUAGUACGAGAGGACCGGAGUGGACGCAUCACUGGUGUUCGGGUUGUCAUGCCAAUGGCACUGCCCGGUAGCUAAAUGCGGAAGAGAUAAGUGCUGAAAGCAUCUAAGCACGAAACUUGCCCCGAGAUGAGUUCUCCCUGACCCUUUAAGGGUCCUGAAGGAACGUUGAAGACGACGACGUUGAUAGGCCGGGUGUGUAAGCGCAGCGAUGCGUUGAGCUAACCGGUACUAAUGAACCGUGAGGCUUAACCUU